rnacentral:lncRNA from 1 species
UCUAGCGGCUAUGACGAGAGCAGUAUUUUUAUUCGUUUAUCUCUUCUAGAAACUUUAUAGCGAUAUAUGAAGAGAAGAUCUGGUGUGAAAUUAGAGAUCUGACGAUUGCGACCUCACAUGUAGAAACAUUGGACCCAAUAAUGCAACCUCGGCAGACAUAGACAUGUAUACAGACAAUGGGACAGCACCUAGUGCGGCCGAGACGAAUCUUGUUUAAGUUUUCAAAAUUUUUCGUCACAUCGAAUUUUUGGUCGCAUGUAUGGAGCAUUAAAUAAAAAUAAAAAUAAAAACUAAUGACACAGUUUAUCUGAAAUUUAUGAGAUGAAUCUUUUGAGCCUAGUUACUCCGUGAUUGGACAAUGUUUAUCAAAUAAAAACGAAAUUGCUACAGUAGCUAAAAAACCAAAAUUUUGCCAACUAAAGAAGGCCUGAGCUCACGGGCCACAAAGCCAUAAAUCCAUGUGAAGCACAAGCACUAGCCUGAGCCUGACUCCCUGAAAAGUACUAUUGCAAACCCCAGGUCGUAAGGGCAUCUGCAGUGGCCUUCGUCAAAUCGCUAGCGACUGGCACACAAAUCGAAUAAGGCCUUGGCUCGUUUAGUUCACCUAAAAACCAAAAAGUUUUCAAAAUUCUCGUCACAUC